rnacentral:rRNA from 1 species
UACGAAGGGGGCUAGCGUUGCUCGGAAUCACUGGGCGUAAAGCGCACGUAGGCGGAUUGUUAAGUCAGGGGUGAAAUCCUGGAGCUCAACUCCAGAACUGCCUUUGAUACUGAAGAUCUUGAGUCCGGGAGAGGUGAGUGGAACUGCGAGUGUAGAGGUGAAAUUCGUAGAUAUUCGCAAGAACACCAGUGGCGAAGGCGGCUCACUAGCCCGGUACUGACGCUGAGGCACGAAAGCGUGGGGAGCAAACAGG